ACAAGAAAAGGAGAUUAGGGUACAGAUACACACACAGGGAAGAAUGCAUGAAGUCCCUGGGAUAAGGCAGCCAUUUACAAGCCAAGGGAAAGGCCUCAGAAGAAACCAGUCUUGCCGACAGCAUGAUCUCUCAUCCUCAGAACUGGGAGGAAAUACAUCUGUGUUGUUUCAGCCACUCAGUUGGUGAUCUCUAUUACAGCAGUCCUUAGCAAACCGAUUUAGACAGGGAUAUUACAGAACUGCAUGUCAUCAGAUCGCACUGUUUCUCUCUUUGGAUGAUGAUAUUCAGGGCUUUGGAUGCCAACCAGAAGAAGCUGUAGGAAUUGGCACAGAUCCAGAGCAUGGACAAGGACUUACACUUCUGCUGAAGGCAAAGGAGAAACAGCAUUAUCUAAAAAGCAACCAAGACUUCAGGGGGAUGAGAACCCACUAACUAUUACAGUCCACGUGUCAGUCGCGUUUCUCAUCGUGAUUAACACCCCAGCCAUUGAUUUGCUCUUCAGUGUCUAGUGAGCAAGGCUACUGUGAAUCUUUCCUCAGGAGGACUGAUGGAGUCACAUUUCUGAGCCUACAGAGCUGAGGGCAAGACCUGAGAAUGGUGAUGUCAAAAUGCCAACCAGCGAGACCUCUUGGUGGCCAGGAAAUGAGUCUGUGGACUGGGAGAGGAAGAUCUACCCUCAGUGGUGCUUGCUUGUGCUCCUCCUGUGCUUGGACAUCAGACUCCAGGUUCUUCAACCUUUGGACUCUGGGACUUGCACCAGCGGCUUCCCAAGGGUUCUCAGGCCUUAAGCCACAGACUGACGACUGUACUGUCAGCUUCCCUGGUUUUGAGGCUUUUGGACUUGGACUGAGCCACUACUGGCAUCUCUCUUUCCCAGCUUGCAGACAGUCUAUCAUGGGACUUUGCCUUGUAAUUGUGCUAGCCAAUUCUUCCUAAUAAACUUCCUUUUAUAUA
rnacentral:lncRNA from 1 species